GAUGAACGCUGGCGGCGUGCCUAAUACAUGCAAGUCGAGCGAAUGGAUUAAGAGCUUGCUCUUAUGAAGUUAGCGGCGGACGGGUGAGUAACACGUGGGUAACCUGCCCAUAAGACUGGGAUAACUCCGGGAAACCGGGGCUAAUACCGGAUAACAUUUUGAACCGCAUGGUUCGAAAUUGAAAGGCGGCUUCGGCUGUCAUUUAUGGAUGGACCCGCGUCGCAUUAGCUAGUUGGUGAGGUAACGGCUCACCAAGGCAACGAUGCGUAGCCGACCUGAGAGGGUGAUCGGCCACACUGGGACUGAGACACGGCCCAGACUCCUACGGGAGGCAGCAGUAGGGAAUCUUCCGCAAUGGACGAAAGUCUGACGGAGCAACGCCGCGUGAGUGAUGAAGGCUUUCGGGUCGUAAAACUCUGUUGUUAGGGAAGAACAAGUGCUAGUUGAAUAAGCUGGCACCUUGACGGUACCUAACCAGAAAGCCACGGCUAACUACGUGCCAGCCGCCGCGAUAA
rnacentral:rRNA from 1 species